ACGAACGCUGGCGGCGUGCUUAACACAUGCAAGUCGAACGGUGAAGCGCCUUCCUUUUUGGUGGGUGUGGAUGAGUGGCGAACGGGUGAGUAACACGUGAGUAACCUGCCCCCUUCUUCUGGAUAACCGCAUGAAAGUGUGGCUAAUACGGGAUAUUCUGGGUCUGUCGCAUGAUGGGUCCGGGAAAGAUAUUGUUUCGGUGGGGGAUGGGCUCGCGGCCUAUCAGCUUGUUGGUGGGGUGAUGGCCUACCAAGGCGGUGACGGGUAGCCGGCCUGAGAGGGUGGACGGUCACACUGGGACUGAGACACGGCCCAGACUCCUACGGGAGGCAGCAGUGGGGAAUAUUGCACAAUGGGCGCAAGCCUGAUGCAGCGACGCCGCGUGAGGGAUGGAGGCCUUCGGGUUGUGAACCUCUUUCGCCAGUGAAGCAGGCCUGCCUCGUUUGUGGGUGGGUUGACGGUAGCUGGAUAAGAAGCGCCGGCUAACUACGUG
rnacentral:rRNA from 1 species